GUUAUUUUGGCAGAUUAGUGUAUUUGAUUUAGAAUCAUUUUAAGUAAAUUUAUUACAAGUAAUAU
rnacentral:tRNA from 1 species